UCCCUCUUAGCUCAGCGGUAGUAGCGCUUCACUAGUACCUAUGACGGGAAUGAAGAGGUCAGUCGUUCAAAUCGGCUAGCGGGAA